UUGAACGCUGGCGGCAGGCCUAACACAUGCAAGUCGAGCGGUAGCACAGAGAGCUUGCUCUCGGGUGACGAGCGGCGGACGGGUGAGUAAUGUCUGGGAAACUGCCUGAUGGAGGGGGAUAACUACUGGAAACGGUAGCUAAUACCGCAUAAUGUCGCAAGACCAAAGUGGGGGACCUUCGGGCCUCAUGCCAUCAGAUGUGCCCAGAUGGGAUUAGCUAGUAGGUGGGGUAACGGCUCACCUAGGCGACGAUCCCUAGCUGGUCUGAGAGGAUGACCAGCCACACUGGAACUGAGACACGGUCCAGACUCCUACGGGAGGCAGCAGUGGGGAAUAUUGCACAAUGGGCGCAAGCCUGAUGCAGCCAUGCCGCGUGUGUGAAGAAGGCCUUCGGGUUGUAAAGCACUUUCAGCGGGGAGGAAGGCGUUAAGGUUAAUAACCUUGGCGAUUGACGUUACCCGCAGAAGAAGCACCGGCUAACUCCGUGCCAGCAGCCGCGGUAAUACGGAGGGUGCAAGCGUUAAUCGGAAUUACUGGGCGUAAAGCGCACGCAGGCGGUCUGUCAAGUCGGAUGUGAAAUCCCCGGGCUCAACCUGGGAACUGCAUUCGAAACUGGCAGGCUAGAGUCUUGUAGAGGGGGGUAGAAUUCCAGGUGUAGCGGUGAAAUGCGUAGAGAUCUGGAGGAAUACCGGUGGCGAAGGCGGCCCCCUGGACAAAGACUGACGCUCAGGUGCGAAAGCGUGGGGAGCAAACAGGAUUAGAUACCCUGGUAGUCCACGCCGUAAACGAUGUCGAUUUGGAGGUUGUGCCCUUGAGGCGUGGCUUCCGGAGCUAACGCGUUAAAUCGACCGCCUGGGGAGUACGGCCGCAAGGUUAAAACUCAAAUGAAUUGACGGGGGCCCGCACAAGCGGUGGAGCAUGUGGUUUAAUUCGAUGCAACGCGAAGAACCUUACCUGGUCUUGACAUCCACAGAACUUUCCAGAGAUGGAUUGGUGCCUUCGGGAACUGUGAGACAGGUGCUGCAUGGCUGUCGUCAGCUCGUGUUGUGAAAUGUUGGGUUAAGUCCCGCAACGAGCGCAACCCUUAUCCUUUGUUGCCAGCGGUCCGGCCGGGAACUCAAAGGAGACUGCCAGUGAUAAACUGGAGGAAGGUGGGGAUGACGUCAAGUCAUCAUGGCCCUUACGACCAGGGCUACACACGUGCUACAAUGGCAUAUACAAAGAGAAGUGACCUCGCGAGAGCAAGCGGACCUCAUAAAGUAUGUCGUAGUCCGGAUUGGAGUCUGCAACUCGACUCCAUGAAGUCGGAAUCGCUAGUAAUCGUAGAUCAGAAUGCUACGGUGAAUACGUUCCCGGGCCUUGUACACACCGCCCGUCACACCAUGGGAGUGGGUUGCAAAAGAAGUAGGUAGCUUAACCUUCGGGAGGGCGCUUACCACUUUGUGAUUCAUGACUGGGGUG
rnacentral:rRNA from 1 species